UACGUAGGGGGCAAGCGUUGUCCGGAAUCAUUGGGCGUAAAGCGCGUGUAGGCGGUUACGUAAGUCUGCUGUGAAAGUCGGAGGCUCAACCUUCGAAAGCCGGUGGAUACUGCGUGACUAGAGUACGGAAGAGGAGAGUGGAAUUCCUGGUGUAGCGGUGAAAUGCGCAGAUAUCAGGAGGAACACCAACGGCGAAGGCAGCUCUCUGGGACGUUACUGACGCUGAGACGCGAAAGCGUGGGGGAGGCAAACAG
rnacentral:rRNA from 1 species